rnacentral:tmRNA from 1 species
GGGGCCGACCGGUUUUGACAGCGUAGAUCUUUGAACGUGUAAGCAUGUCGUGCGUUGGAUAAUUAGCACGUUAAUCUGAAUAUUCAAAACUCAAAUGGCGAAACUUCAUUCGCAAUGGCUGCUUAAUUCAUUUAAGUCUCCAUUAUAGGCCGUGUAUUUCGGGUAGGCUUAUGACCCACGUUACACCGCCUUCAACAGAGAACAUAAGCUGCGACCAGAACAGGCUGUGAAAAUGGUCAAAGCUCUAUUCAGCUAAGGAAAAGGUAGGUUAGUUCUGCCCCGGCCUUUUUCCGACAAGCAAUGCAGAAAUAAACAUGUAGAAAGCGUUUACGGAAUAUGUUUGGACAGGGGUUCGACUCCCCUCGGUUCCACAA